rnacentral:lncRNA from 1 species
GUUAGAGUUAACACUAGGUACACAUCCUGUAUGGUAGGGGUUAGGGUUAACACUAGGUACACAUCCUGUAUGGUAGGGGUUAUAGUUAACACUAGGUACACAUCCUGUAUGGUAGGGGUUAGAGUUAACACUAGGUACACACCCUGUAUGGUAGGGGUUAGAGUUAACACUAGGUACACAUCCUGUAUGGUAGGGGUUAGGGUUAGAGUUAACACUAGGUACACACCCUGUAUGGUAGGGGUUAGGGUUAACACUAGGUACACACCCUGUAUGGUAGGGGUUAGAGUUAACACUAGGUACACAUCCUGUAUGGUAGGGGUUAGGGUUAACACUAGGUACACACCCUGUAUGGUAGGGGUUAGGGUUAACACUAGGUACACACCCUGUAUGGUAGGGGUUAGGGUUAACACUAGGUACACACCCUGUAUGGUAGGGGUUAGAGUUAACACUAGGUACACACCCUGUAUGGUAGGGGUUAGGGUUAACACUAGGUACACACCCUGUAUGGUAGGGGUUAGAGUUAACACUAGGUACACAUCCUGUAUGGUAGGGGUUAGAGUUAACACUAGGUACACAUCCUGUAUGGUAGGGGUUAGGGUUAGAGUUAACACUAGGUACACACCCUGUAUGGUAGGGGUUAGAGUUAACACUAGGUACACACCCUGUAUGGUAGGGGUUAGGGUUAACACUAGGUACACAUCCUGUAUGGUAG